rnacentral:rRNA from 1 species
UACGGAGAGUGCAAACGUUGCUCGGAAUCAUUGGGCGUAAAGCGCACGUAGGUGGCCUGUUAAGUCGGGUGUGAAAUCCCUGGGCUCAACCCAGGAAGUGCACUCGAAACUGGCAGGCUUGAGUACUGAAGAGGGUCGCGGAAUUCCCGGUGUAGAGGUGAAAUUCGUAGAUAUCGGGAGGAACACCAGUGGCGAAGGCGGCGACCUGGGCAGAUACUGACACUGAGGUGCGAAAGCGUGGGGAGCAAACAGG